GGGAAGGUGGCUCAGUGGUAGAGCACUUGCCUUGCAUGCAUGAGGCCCUGACUUCCUG
rnacentral:tRNA from 1 species